rnacentral:rRNA from 1 species
AUUGCCCCAGUAACGGCGAGUGAAGCGGCAACAGCUCAGAUUUGGAAUCUGGCCCCCAGGGCCCGAGUUGUAAUCUGGAGAGGAUGCUUCUGGCGCGGCGCCUUCCGAGUUCCCUGGAACGGGACGCCGGAGAGGGUGAGAGCCCCGUACGGUUGGACGCCUAGCCUUUGUGAAGCUCCUUCGACGAGUCGAGUAGUUUGGGAAUGCUGCUCAAAAUGGGAGGUAAAUUUCUUCUAAAGCUAAAUACCGGCCAGAGACCGAUAGCGCACAAGUAGAGUGAUCGAAAGAUGAAAAGCACUUUGAAAAGAGGGUCAAACAGUACGUGAAAUUGUUGAAAGGGAAGCGCCCGUGGCCAGACUUGUGCCCCGCGGACCACCCGGCGCCCUCAGCGCCGGUGCACUCCGCGGGGCGCAGGCCAGCAUCGGUUUUCCUAGGGGGAUAAAGGCGGCGGGAACGUGGCUCCUUCGGGAGUGUUAUAGCCCGUCGUGCCAUGCCCCUGGGGGGACCGAGGACCGCGCUUCGGCAAGGAUGCUGGCGUAAUGGCCACCGGCGACCCGUCUUGAAACACGGACCAAGGAGUCAAGCAUUGGGGCGAGUGUCUGGGUGCCAAACCCGCACGCGAAAUGAAAGUGAACGCAGGUGAGAGCUUCGGCGCAUCAUCGACCGAUCCUGAUGUUCUCGGAUGGAUUUGAGUAAGAGCCUUACCGCUUGGACCCGAAAGAUGGUGAACUAUGCCUGUAUAGGGUGAAGCCAGAGGAAACUCUGGUGGAGGCUCGCAGCGGUUCUGACGUGCAAAUCGAUCGUCAAAUAUGGGCAUGGGGGCGAAAGACUAAUCGAACCAUCUAGUAGCUGGUUACCGCCGAA